CAUCUUUUAGCUCAGCUCAGCUCAAAUCGAGGAUUAAGGCAUGUUCCUAGCAGGGAGGCUAUUCAGAGAUCCUACUUCAGCAGUUUAAGAUUCACCUAAGCUGACUCUGCCGCUGCCCCACCUCUGACCAUGACAAUCCAACACUGAAUCCUGCUGAAGUUUUUCCUUUGAAAAUAACGUUGUGGGUGACUUCUGAAUGAAAAGUGGAUUGGGUACAUGAAUUUAUCUCUUUUCCGAAAUGCCACUAAAAUGGCAGCCAAGGUGAAGGCUGGAUGGCCACUCGCUUGGGACAGCACAGAGGAGAUUUGGGCAUUGGACAGGGCUGGAAUGAAAGUUCCAUGAAGAGUUUUCCAACUGAG